GCCCUUAGAGUUUGAUCCUGGCUCAAGGGGACCGCUGGCGGCGUGCUUAACACAUGCAAGUCGAACGAAGCACUAUUAUUUGAUUUCUUCGGAAUGAAGAUUUUAGUGACUGAGUGGCGGACGGGUGAGUAACGCGUGGGUAACCUGCCUCAUACGGGGGGAUAACAGUUAGAAAUGACUGCUAAUACCGCAUAAGACCACAGUACCGCAUGGUACAGGGGUAAAAACUCCGGUGGUAUGAGAUGGACCCGCGUCUGAUUAGGUAGUUGGUGGGGUAACGGCCUACCAAGCCGACGAUCAGUAGCCGACCUGAGAGGGUGACUGGCCACAUUGGGACUGAGACACGGCCCAAACUCCUACGGGAGGCAGCAGUGGGGAAUAUUGCACAAUGGGGGAAACCCUGAUGCAGCGACGCCGCGUGAGCGAUGAAGUAUUUCGGUAUGUAAAGCUCUAUCAGCAGGGAAGAAAAUGACGGUACCUGACUAAGAAGCACCGGCUAAAUACGUGCCAGCAGCCGCGGUAAUACGUAUGGUGCAAGCGUUAUCCGGAUUUACUGGGUGUAAAGGGAGCGUAGACGGAGUGGCAAGUCUGAUGUGAAAACCCGGGGCUCAACCCCGGGACUGCAUUGGAAACUGUCAAUCUGGAGUACCGGAGAGGUAAGCGGAAUUCCUAGUGUAGCGGUGAAAUGCGUAGAUAUUAGGAGGAACACCAGUGGCGAAGGCGGCUUACUGGACGGUAACUGACGUUGAGGCUCGAAAGCGUGGGGAGCAAACAGGAUUAGAUACCCUGGUAGUCCACGCCGUAAACGA
rnacentral:rRNA from 1 species